rnacentral:lncRNA from 1 species
CUAAGUGCAAAUUGUACCGAAAUUGGACAUUUCGGCCGUAGUUUUGAUGCGCUUUUCGUGUUUCGUUUUCAGCAGAGUUGGGGUUCCGUUGAGCAGAGUUUCGGGACUUCUUUUGGCUGGAUUGAGCUUGGUGAUAGGUGGGUCGGACCUUCCCGAAAUGGGUGAAUUCCCUCUAUGUCUCCUUUGACAUCUGAGUUGAAGUUAUUUCAUAUUCAUGUGAAUACAUGUAUAGUUUAAGGCAUUGAGACAUGCACUGAUAUGUAGAUCAUAUCGGAAAUGAUAGCAUCUUUAAAUAGUAAUGAAAGCUUCAUAACUUGUCCAUUUUACAUGGUUACCUGUUAAGUACUAUGGAUUCAUGAUACUAGUAGCUUACAUAUGCAAUUUGGCUUGAUGUUAUCCACGAGGAUAGAAUGGUAAAUUCGUGAAUGGACCAAUUAGUUUUGUUGAACAACAAAGAGACAGAUAUACUUAGGAUUGAGCUAUGCAAUGUUAUAUAACAAGUAUAAUGGCUAAACUCUGAAAGAUCAGGUAAA